rnacentral:lncRNA from 1 species
CCUGUCUCAAAAUUUAAAAAAAGGUGGAGGGUAUAGCUUAGUGCAGAGGCCCUGGGUUCAACCCCGAGGACCAGAAACAAACAAGCUCCUUCCUUUGGAGCUCCUCCUCAUCCCCCAGUUGGGCUGUUAUCAGUGACAUCCAGCUCUGUCUGUCCCCCCCCUAAGAAGUGACAUUCCACCUCUUAAAAACAACACACAGCUAUCGCAGGCCAUGUGCAGUGAUGUUGCCAUCGACUGGACCUGGUACCAGGGGCUCCCAGGGCAGGCCUGUCCUCACCUCUGACUGUAGGGCCAUCCUAGAAAGUGACAUCAAGGUCUCUGGGGGCGGGGCCUUCAGGUGCCACAUGGAAAUGCUGUCAGGUGUGCUGAGGCCCCAGGAGGACCUAGGAACCAGGAGCAGCUGUCAGUGUUAGUGGGAAGAUUACUUGGAUACAGCCCGCAGGAGUCUGGAGGCAGACGCUGGUCAUGACGACCCUCUGCCAGUGCCUGGGCAGACAGUGUGUCCAAGAGCUGCUUAGACAGUCCUGUGAGGUGGGCUCCGAGUGACCUCGACUUAUAAAGAAGGGAACCGAGGAGCAGACAAGCUGGGUCAUUUGCUGUGGGAGAUGUGAAGAAAAUCACAAUGACUCUUACGGCAGGACAGAGGCACCGUCUCCUCCUUGUAACAGCUUCAAGUGGCAUCCUGAGUAACAAGGGCUCGUCCACCAUGUGCGAUUGGUGAACAAGUAGGAGCUGAUUAACAAGUAGAUGGAACAUGGAUGCAGGUUUCUAGAGAUGUGCUGUAGGACUCCGUCAUCAGCCUCUUCCUGCUCAAUGUGCCUGCGGAUGACUCAGCCGGGGAC